rnacentral:rRNA from 1 species
GACGAACGCUGGCGGCGUGCCUAAUACAUGCAAGUAGAACGCACAGUUUAUACCGUAGCUUGCUACACCAUAGACUGUGAGUUGCGAACGGGUGAGUAACGCGUAGGUAACCUGCCUUGUAGCGGGGGAUAACUAUUGGAAACGAUAGCUAAUACCGCAUAAUAUUGAUUAUUGCAUGAUAAUUAAUUGAAAGGUGCAAUUGCACCACUACCAGAUGGACCUGCGUUGUAUUAGCUAGUAGGUGAGGUAACGGCUCACCUAGGCGACGAUACAUAGCCGACCUGAGAGGGUGAUCGGCCACACUGGGACUGAGACACGGCCCAGACUCCUACGGGAGGCAGCAGUAGGGAAUCUUCGGCAAUGGACGAAAGUCUGACCGAGCAACGCCGCGUGAGUGAAGAAGGUUUUCGGAUCGUAAAGCUCUGUUGUAAGAGAAGAACGGGUGUGAGAGUGGAAAGUUCACACUGUGACGGUAUCUUACCAGAAAGGGACGGCUAACUACGUG